rnacentral:lncRNA from 1 species
GGUUUCAAGACCAUUGAGGACAUGGUAUUUGGUGCUUGUGCAGUUCUUUGAGUUUGAUUUUUUCUAGGGUUUUGCUCGGUAAUGUGGCGAUACUUUUCUGGUCUUACUCUGAUCUCUGAGGAUUCAGGUGGUGGUCGGUUGGUCUUGGGUUCGGGGAGAAUCUCCCUCGCCUAGCUGUUGGGGGUGCGAUCUCGGCUACCACAAGUGUUUACAACAUCGCUUCUCAGCUGCUCCGAGAUUCGGUUCCUUUAUGGUCUCCAAUGUGGCUCCAGUUUUGUAUUGUGUGUUGCUAGCUUGUUAUUAGGUUCCGCAGUGUGCCUUUCCUUUACAAGGCUUGGUGGAUACAACGGUGGAGUCGUUAGUGGAAUCUAUCGACGCUACCAGCUGCGGCAUUUUCUUUUCAUCUCUUAUUUUUGUUUUUGGAGUAGUUGUUUCAUCUUCGCGGUGUAUUUAUUAGUUAUUGUUUCAUUUGGUCUUGUGGUAGUAGUUUUAUAAUUUUUUGUAGUUUUUGUUUUUUCUGUUUUUUUCGGUUAAAAAUUAAAAUUUUGGUAUAAAAUUUAACAUUAAAAGCAAAAAAUAUAUGUACAAAUCAAAUUAUAUAUAAAAUUUUAUUUAUUUUUACUGUAUUUUAAAAACAAAGCAGAUCCAAAUAUUCGUAGAUAUUGGUAAAUUUGGUUUCGGAUAUAGUUUUAGAUCCGAGAAAUCAAAAAUUAAGAUUAGAAUAUUC